AUCUCCCAUGAUGCCGUUGUUUGGUGAAAUGACGAAAUGCUUAGAAUAUACGAUAUUCAUUUAUUUAUAUACACUAAGGAAAUAAUGAUGAAGGGUUGCUAGAGGUCAAAAUGUGUUGUGAUGAACCUGCACAAACAAUACCUCGGAAUCAGCCAUCUUUGUUGUUUACAUUCGCCUCGAACACUUUGAGGUCAAAACUGGGACAACCCAUUCUGAUUUCCCACCACCCUCGAAUGCAGCAAACGAUACUGUUGCGGCUUAAAGCAAACCAAUGAUACGUAAAAAAAAUUCACUUGUGUCAUAUUUUGCACAAAUGUCACGCCCAUAUGACAUUCAGGGACGCUUAAUUCUGACGUCAGAUUGAAUUUCGUGACACGCCUAUAUGACAUUCAGGGACGCUUAAUUCUGACGUCAGAUUGGAUUUCGUGACGUCAUCAACAACAAGACCGGUCGAAUAAAUCGAAAAUAGAAGACGGCGACUGCGGCAUUUGCCCUCGAGGGAUUGUUAUCAGACAGACUAAAGCAACACCAACGGAUAAUGUGGAAGGGCAAGCGCCCCCCAAUGACGCUUUGAGGGGAGCUUCCUCCUGAAGUGGUCGCUAAAUGUCCCCUGACAUUUGCCGACAUUACGACCAUGAGCAAUGGAGUCAGGAGGAGCGGUCACUUUAGUCAUUCAAGCGUCCGACCAAAAGCAUGAAGACUGCACAAUCAACUGCUUCCUGAGCUGGACUGUGGAGGAGCUGAAGAGUCACAUCGCCACUGUGUACCCCAGUAAGCCAAAAUGUUCUCAACGUGUACUGCAGCGCUCCAGAGAUCAGCAGCUAGUGUACUCAGGGAAGCUCCUGCAGGACCACCUCCAGCUACGAGAUGUACUGCGACAGCCGCACGACGAAUAUGCCAUCUUGCAUCUGAUGUGCAGUUCUUGCACCCCGCCGGGCUCGCCCGCACCCCAUUGCACCUCCACGCUCAACGCCGACCUUCUGACAGGUCCUCUCAUCUUUGUUAAGAGUUCCGAAAGUGCAAGGUCAGCACUUCGUGACAGUGCCUCCAUCUCGGGAGGUCCUGAUGAUCUCAGACGUCGAGGUGGUGGCGUCAGCUUGAACCCUCUAAGCCCUGCUGGUGUCCCUCGAUUACCUCAAGGUGAAGCUCCAACGCCUCUGCGAGGUGGCCAGAUGUUGAUGCCCAUUCAGAUGCUGUGGUGGUGGCAGCAGAUGUACGCGCGGCACUACUACAUGCAGUAUCAAGCGGCGGUGGUGGCCUCCCAGACUCUCAGCUUCCCCCCUGCCACCUCACAACUGCCCCCUUCCCGGCCCAACGAAGCCACGCCCGCCAUCCCGGACGCCGACCCCCUGCCGGAGAACCUGGCGCUGCCUCCUGCAGCCAACGCCAACAUCCAAAUAAACGUACAGGGCGGCGGCGGCGUGCUGAACGAGGACGAGCUCAACCGCGACUGGCUGGACCGGCUGUAUGCGCUGUUCCGUGGCUUCGUCCUGCUCGGAUUUGUCUACUUCCACGGCUCGUUCGGCCACUUCAUCAUGGUGGUGGGAGCCAUGAUGCUCGUCUACCUGCACCAGGUGGGCUGGUUUCCCUUCAGAACGGUAGCGCAUCUACAGCAGCAGCAAGAGCUGCCAAACUUUCAGGAUCCUGAACAAGCUCAAGCUUGGGAGGAAGCGGAGAUACAACGGGGCAUCUGGGAACUGGAGCGGGUGAUGGACAACGGCAUGGACGAAGCCCAGCAAGAAGACCCCGGCUUGCUCGCCACGGCGUGCUCCUUUGUCCGAAUCUUCUUCAGCUCACUUAUUCCGGAGGGUUGGCCCCAAAGGCCACCUGCCUUACCCCCUGUGCUCCAUCCUUAUUAGUCCUGAAGAAGCCUCAACCAGCAUGUGGACAAGUUGACAUACAUAAUGUUUAAGGCCUGAAAAAGAACUACCUUCCUCUACUGUCCUGCAGAUGUCAGCAUGGCUCCUUGUUAAAUUUGAGGCAGAGAGUGCAGGGGACCUCACGCACGUUAAUAUUCAUGAGGAAAGCAGUGCAGGGAUUUGGGCAGUGAGUAUUGAUACUCAAUUCUAUUUCACUCAUAGUUUAAAAGAGAACAACAAUUUAGUCAUACGUCUCUAUUAAUGUUGACUUCACAGCCCAAAACUAGAAAGCAACUCAAAAUAGCACGGACCUCCCAUAAUGAGCGGCAUGAAAUGUAGUAAAAAUUGCACAUGUCCUAUCAGUCCAUGCGAUUGAGAAUAAAACAAUCUGGUCACCUGACAACUGCGCAUUACUAUAUCGAUAUAUGUACACAAAUGUAUACACAUUUGAAAAUGAAAUAAACGCCAACACCGUGUUUA